AUACCCCAUGGUGCUCAGGUCCGCCGCAUCUCCUGGGUCUUGGGGUUGGUCGACCGGUGACGCAGUGAACGGUUCCUCGUACUGUCAUUGCUGUCCCGGUCGACCCACUU
rnacentral:sRNA from 1 species